rnacentral:rRNA from 1 species
GACGAACGCUGGCGGCGUGCUUAACACAUGCAAGUCGAACGGAAAGGCCUCUUUCGGGGGGUACUCGAGUGGCGAACGGGUGAGUAACACGUGAGUAACCUGCCCUUGACUUUGGGAUAACUUCAGGAAACUGGGGCUAAUACCGGAUAGGAGCUCCUGCUGCAUGGUGGGGGUUGGAAAGUUUCGGCGGUUGGGGAUGGACUCGCGGCUUAUCAGCUUGUUGGUGGGGUAGUGGCUUACCAAGGCUUUGACGGGUAGCCGGCCUGAGAGGGUGACCGGCCAUAUUGGGACUGAGAUACGGCCCAGACUCGUACGGGAGGCAGCAGUGGGGAAUAUUGCACAAUGGGUGGAAGCCUGAUGCAGCAACGCCGUGUGCGGGAUGACGGCCUUCGGGUUGUAAAACGCUUUCGCUCAUGACGAAGCUUUGUGUGACGGUAGUGGGUAAAGAAGCACCGGCUAACUACGUG